ACAAAAUGUACCUUAACAAAAGCACCUUGCUUACACCAAGAACAUGUCCGCGAAACUCGGACCAUUUUGA
rnacentral:tRNA from 1 species